UUUCUCUUGUUUUGGGGGCCAGGCUGCCUGAGGCUUUGGUUUGGCCAGAGCUUUGGAAACCGCCUUCCGCCCUUCCCUGCGUUGUUUUGGUUGCUGUUUUCCCUUUGCGUGUUUUGCUCCCCUUUGCGAGGGUUUUGAUGUUUUUUUUUCUUUUCUUGAGCUCUCUUUUCUGAGGCUCUUUUCCUUGUUUGCGCCUGUGCUUUCAAGGUUUUUUCAAAUCUUAUUUUUUUCAAUACAAUUUUCAUUUCAGCAGUAGCAGCUAGCCGAAGAUGACCACCUGCAAUUCUAGUGCCUUCACAUGUGCAAAACUUGUACUAAUUUUUAUAAUAAUUUCCUUAUCUUUUCUUUCUUCGUUUUUGUUUUUCGUUUCAAAAUAUUAAAAUCUCUUGAAUUAAGCAUGUCUAUUUAAUUGAUCUAAUGACAUGAUAAAUCUGAUAUUAAUUUUGCAGCGCACUGCGAGCUCAAAACUACACAGGAAUAAAAAUAUAUUCUCUCCAGCAUGAGAAAACAAUUAGAGAAAUGGACAAAACAAGAAAAAAUUAUGAAGAAACAAGUGAAGUACUGAUUGACGUUUAUUAAGAUAUAUUGCUACUUAAUUGUAUUACGUACAUAUACAUAUGCAAACAAUAUAGCAAUUGUCAAUAUAUAUAAUAUCUUGAGAGCUUUUCCAUUAUCAUGGAAUUUCUUCCCCAACUCCACCACCAUCGAUCCCUUCCCCAACUCCCUCACCACCGAUUCCUUCCCCAACUCCACCACCAUCGAUUCCUUCCCCAACUCCCCCACCACCGAUUCCUUCUCCACCAAUACCAGUAUCUGGAAUAAUUAUUAUUUCCUUUUCAUCAUUAAUGGCAGAUUCUCCGAGGUUUCUGGCAGUGGCGGUGCAAACAAGAGCGCUUAUCACAACUAAAACUACAACUAACUUUGAACCCAUAUCGAUCUUAAAUCUUAUGAUGAUU
rnacentral:lncRNA from 1 species